UACGUAGGGGGCUAGCGUUGUCCGGAAUCAUUGGGCGUAAAGCGCGUGUAGGCGGCCCGGUAAGUCCGCUGUAAAAGUCGGGGGCUCAACCCUCGAAAGCCGGUGGAUACUGUCGGGCUAGAGUACGGAAGAGGCGAGUGGAAUUCCUGGUGUAGCGGUGAAAUGCGCAGAUAUCAGGAAGAACACCCGUGGCGAAGGCGGUUCUCUGGGACGGUACUGACGCUGAGACGCGAAAGCGUGGGGAGCGAACAGG
rnacentral:rRNA from 1 species